GACGAACGCUGGCGGCGUGCCUAAUACAUGCAAGUCGAGCGAAUCAAUGGGAGCUUGCUCCCUGAGAUUAGCGGCGGACGGGUGAGUAACACGUGGGUAACCUGCCUGUAAGACUGGGAUAACUUCGGGAAACCGGAGCUAAUACCGGAUAGUUUCUUUUCUCGCAUGAGAGAAGAUGGAAAGAUGGUUUCGGCUAUCACUUACAGAUGGACCCGCGGCGCAUUAGCUAGUUGGUGAGGUAACGGCUCACCAAGGCGACGAUGCGUAGCCGACCUGAGAGGGUGAUCGGCCACACUGGGACUGAGACACGGCCCAGACUCCUACGGGAGGCAGCAGUAGGGAAUCUUCCGCAAUGGACGAAAGUCUGACGGAGCAACGCCGCGUGAGCGAAGAAGGCCUUCGGGUCGUAAAGCUCUGUUGUUAGGGAAGAACAAGUACGAGAGUAACUGCUCGUACCUUGACGGUACCUAACCAGAAAGCCACGGCUAACUACGUGCCAGCCGCCGCGGUAAUAC
rnacentral:rRNA from 1 species